GCCACCCUAGCUCAGUUGGUAGAGCGCAUCACUCGUAAUGAUGAGGCCGCCGGUUCGAUUCCGGCGGGUGGCUCCA
rnacentral:tRNA from 1 species